rnacentral:rRNA from 1 species
CGGUUAAGUUAGAAAGGGCGCACGGUGGAUGCCUUGGCACUAGGAGCCGAUGAAGGACGGGACUAACACCGAUAUGCUUCGGGGAGCUGUAAGUAAGCUUUGAUCCGGAGAUUUCCGAAUGGGGAAACCCACUGUUCGUAAUGGAACAGUAUCUUUACCUGAAUACAUAGGGUACUGAAGGCAGACCCGGGGAACUGAAACAUCUAAGUACCAGGAGGAAGAGAAAGCAAACGCGAUUUCCUGAGUAGCGGCGAGCGAAACGGAAUUAGCCCAAACCAAGAGGCUUGCCUCUUGGGGUUGUAGGACACUCAACAUGGAGUUACAAAGGAACGGGGUAAAUGAAGCGAUCUGGAAAGGUCCGUCAAAGAAGGUAAAAACCCUGUAGUUGAAACUUCG